rnacentral:pre_miRNA from 1 species
GGCUACUGGUAAUCAAGUUAGGAACCAUGCAAGUUGUUUAUGAGUUGUGCCCUCUGUGCCUAGCGCCAUAGAUGACUUGCAAGAUUUCUAACUUGAGUGCCAGUGUCC